CCACCUCUUCCCAUUCCGAACAGAGAAGUUAAGCCUCGUCACGCCGAUGGUACUGCGUAACAGUGGGAGAGUAGGUAGCCGCCGUUU
rnacentral:rRNA from 1 species